GCAGAUAUAGUACAGUGGUUAGUAUUCCGGCUUCCCAAGCCAGCGACACGGGUUCGAAUCCCGCUAUCUGCUUCA
rnacentral:tRNA from 1 species